rfam:Prunus persica cultivar Lovell chromosome G8, whole genome shotgun sequence.
CUACGGACUUAAUUGGAUUGAGCCUUGGUAUGGAAACCUACCAAGUGAGAACUUUCAAAUUCAGAGAAACCCUGGAAUUAAAAAUGGGCGAUCCUGAGCCAAAUCCUGUUUUAUUAAAACAAACAAGGGUUUCAUAAACCGAGAAUAAAAAAGGAUAGGUGCAGAGACUCAAUGGAAGCUGUUCUAACAAAUGGAGUUGGCUGCAUUGUGUUAGUAAAGGAAUCCUUACAUCGAAACUUCCGAAAGGAUGAAGGAUAAACCUAUAUGCAUACGUAUAGUACUGCAAUAGUAUCUCCAAAUGAUUAAUGACGGCUCGAAUCUGUAUUUUUUUAUAUUUAUAUGAAAAACGAAAGAAUUGUUGUGAAUCAAUUAAAAAUUGAAAAAAGAAUCGAAUAUUCAUUGAUCAAAUCAUUCACUCCAUCAUAGUCUGAUAGAUCUUUUUAAGAAUUGAUUAAUCGGACGAGAAUAAAGAUAGAGUCCCAUUAUACAUGUCAAUAUCGA